GGUCAUCGCCAACAGGGCUCACACCUUAUUCAAAGGAAAAGAGACUGGCUCUGGCACCACUGACACAGGAACCAAUAAGUGAUCAACCAGAAAAAAGCACAAGAAAAAAAUGGAGCAAUGAUGAAAAUACCUUUCUGCUAGAACAAGCAGCAAGCUCAAAAGUGCACAGCAAUAUAUUUUGGAAUGACUGUGCCAAAAGACUCAAAGAAAAACUAUCAACUUCACGUUCAGGAGAAUCUUGCAGACUUUAGUACAAAAGGAUUCGAUCGAGAA